rnacentral:rRNA from 1 species
AUUGAACGCUGGCGGCAGGCUUAACACAUGCAAGUCGAGCGAGUGGCGGACGGGUGAGUAAUGUCUUGGAAACUGCCUGAUGGAGGGGGAUAACUACUGGAAACGGUAGCUAAUACCGCAUACCAUCAGAUGUGCCCAGAUGGGAUUAGCUUGUAGGUGGGGUAAUGGCUCACCUAGGCGACGAUCCCUAGCUGGUCUGAGAGGAUGACCAGCCACCCUGGACCUGAGACACGGUCCAGACUCCUACGGAAGGAAGCAGUGGGGAACAUUGCACAAUGGGCUGAAGCCUUAUGCAGCCAUGCCGCGUGUGUGAAGAAGGCCUUCGGGUUGUAAAGUACUUUCAGCGAGGAGGCGUUACCCGCAGAAGAAGCACCGGCUAACUCCGUGCCAGCAGCCGCGGUAAUUC